UCCUCGGUAGUAUAGUGGUGAGUAUUCCCGCCUGUCACGCGGGCGACCCGGGUUCGAUUCCUCCAAUGAU
rnacentral:tRNA from 1 species